GGAAGAACCGGAACUAUGGUUUGUGCCUGCCUUAUUGCCUCCAAAAUAUUUUUAACUGCAGAGGAAAGCCUGUAUUAUUUUGGAGAAAGGCAAACAGAUAAAACCCACAGCAGUAAAUUUCAGGGACUAGAAACUCCUUCUCAGAAUAGAUAUGUUGGAUAUUUUGCACAAGUGAAACAUCUGUACAACUGGAAUCUCCCUCCAAGACGGAUACUCUUUAUAAAAAGAUUCAUUAUUUAUUCAAUUCGUGGGCGAUGUAUGUGAUCUAAAAUUCCAAAUAGUAAUGGAGAAAAAGGUUGUCUUUUCCAGUACUUCAUUAGGAAAUUGUUAUACUGCAUGACAUUGAAACAGCCGGUGUAUUAACUAAUGUAUAUGACAGUCCACCUCUGUAUGAUGAUGUGAAAGUGCAAUUUUUCUCUUCAGUGACCUAAGUACUGUGACAAUUGUUCAUUUUUCUUCUGGUUCAACACAUCUUUUAUUCAAAAUAACAAGGCUUUAUCUACCAAGAAAUGAAUUGGAUAAUCCACAUAAACAAAAAGCUUGGAAAAUUUAUCCACCAGAAUUUGCCGUGGAGAUACUUUUUGGUAAGAAAU
rnacentral:lncRNA from 1 species